GCCUGCGUAACUCAGCCGGCAGAGUAGCGGUCUCUUAAACCGAAGGUCGUGGGUUCGAAUCCCACUGCAGGCA
rnacentral:tRNA from 1 species